rnacentral:rRNA from 1 species
CAGCCGCCGCGGUAAUACGGAGGGAGCUAGCGUUGUUCGGAAUUACUGGGCGUAAAGCGCACGUAGGCGGUUAUUCAAGUCAGAGGUGAAAGCCCGGGGCUCAACCCCGGAACUGCCUUUGAAACUAGAUGACUGGAAUCUUGGAGAGGUCAGUGGAAUUCCGAGUGUAGAGGUGAAAUUCGUAGAUAUUCGGAAGAACACCAGUGGCGAAGACGACUGACUGGACAAGUAUUGACGCUGAGGUGCGAAAGCGUGGGGAGCAAACAGGAUUAGAGACCCCGGUAGUCCCUGUCUCUUAUAC